rnacentral:rRNA from 1 species
GACGAACGCUGGCGGCGUGCCUAAUACAUGCAAGUCGAGCGGACUGGAGGGAGCUUGCUCCCGAAGGUCAGCGGCGGACGGGUGAGUAACACGUGGGUAACCUGCCUGGUAGACUGGGAUAACGCGGUGAAAGUCGGGCUAAUACCCUAUAUGCUCACGAGAGGCGCCUGCCUUGGUGAGGAAAGAUUUAUCACUGACAGAUGGACAUGCGUCCCAUUAGCUGGUUGGUAGGGUAACGGCCUACCAAGGCAACGAUGGGUAGGGGAACUGAGAGGUUUAUCCCCCACAUUGGUACUGAGACACGGACCAA